rnacentral:rRNA from 1 species
GGGCGUAAGAGCUCGUAGGUGGCUGAGUAAGUCGGGUGUCAAAGCCCCAGGCUCAACCUGGGAUCCCACCCGAUACUGCUCUGGCUAGAGUCCGGUAGGGGAGCGUGGAAUUCCUGGUGUAGCGGUGAAAUGCGCAGAUAUCAGGAGGAACACCAGCGGCGAAGGCGGCGCUCUGGGCCGGUACUGACACUGAGGAGCGAAAGCGUGGGUAGCAAACAGGAUUAGAUACCCUGGUAGUCCACGCCGUAAACGUUGGGCACUAGGUGUGGGGUCUAUUCAACGGACUCCGUGCCGUCGCUAACGCAUUAAGUGCCCCGCCUGGGGAGUACGGCCGCAAGGCUAAAACUCAAAGGAAUUGACGGGGGCCCGCACAAGCAGCGGAGCAUGUUGCUUAAUUCGAGGCAACGCGAAGAACCUUACCUGGGCUUGACAUGUAGAGAAAAGCCGUAGAGAUACGGUGUCCUUCGGGGUUCUACACAGGUGGUGCAUGGUUGUCGUCAGCUCGUGUCGUGAGAUGUUGGGUUAAGUCCCGCAACGAGCGCAACCCUUGUCCUAUGUUGCCAGCGGGUAAUGCCGGGGACUCGUAGGAGACUGCCGGGGUCAACUCGGAGGAAGGUAAU